AAGUCGAACGAUGAAGCCCAGCUUGCUGGGUGGAUUAGUGGCGAACGGGUGAGUAACACGUGAGUAACCUGCCCUUAACUCUGGGAUAAGCCUGGGAAACUGGGUCUAAUACCGGAUAGGAGCGUCCACCGCAUGGUGGGUGUUGGAAAGAUUUAUCGGUUUUGGAUGGACUCGCGGCCUAUCAGCUUGUUGGUGAGGUAAUGGCUCACCAAGGCGACGACGGGUAGCCGGCCUGAGAGGGUGACCGGCCACACUGGGACUGAGACACGGCCCAGACUCCUACGGGAGGCAGCAGUGGGGAAUAUUGCACAAUGGGCGCAAGCCUGAUGCAGCGACGCCGCGUGAGGGAUGACGGCCUUCGGGUUGUAAACCUCUUUCAGUAGGGAAGAAGCGAAAGUGACGGUACCUGCAGAAGAAGCACCGGCUAACUACGUGCCAGCAGCCGCGGUAAUACGUAGGGUGCGAGCGUUAUCCGGAAUUAUUGGGCGUAAAGAGCUCGUAGGCGGUUUGUCGCGUCUGUCGUGAAAGUCCGGGGCUUAACCCCGGAUCUGCGGUGGGUACGGGCAGACUAGAGUGCAGUAGGGGAGACUGGAAUUCCUGGUGUAGCGGUGGAAUGCGCAGAUAUCAGGAGGAACACCGAUGGCGAAGGCAGGUCUCUGGGCUGUAACUGACGCUGAGGAGCGAAAGCAUGGGGAGCGAACAGGAUUAGAUACCCUGGUAGUCCAUGCCGUAAACGUUGGGCACUAGGUGUGGGGACCAUUCCACGGUUUCCGCGCCGCAGCUAACGCAUUAAGUGCCCCGCCUGGGGAGUACGGCCGCAAGGCUAAAACUCAAAGGAAUUGACGGGGGCCCGCACAAGCGGCGGAGCAUGCGGAUUAAUUCGAUGCAACGCGAAGAACCUUACCAAGGCUUGACAUGUUCUCGAUCGCCGUAGAGAUACGGUUUCCCCUUUGGGGCGGGUUCACAGGUGGUGCAUGGUUGUCGUCAGCUCGUGCCGGGAGAUGUUGGGUUAAGUCCCGCAACGAGCGCAACCCUCGUUCCAUGUUGCCAGCACGUAAUGGGGGGGACC
rnacentral:rRNA from 1 species